AUCCAUCCAACAAAUGUUUCUUUGGUGACCACUGUGUGUUAACAAGACCUUCAAGUAUUUCAUUGAUUUGCUUUAACUCUUAUAGGUUGGCUCCCCUUCCCUGGUCCCAGCUACCAGAGCCCCACCACCCACACCCAGGGUGAGUCUGACAAUUCUGUCCCACAACUGUGUGGAGCCAGUGAUAGGGUCACCCAUACAGGGAGAUGUGAAGCCACAUUUUCACCAGCAGAAGAGCUGCGUGUCCAUCCCAUUCCUGGGUGUUAAUUGGGACUGUGUAGUUUUGUGUGUUUUGCUCCUCUUACAGAGUGUGGGUUGCUGCCAUCUCAGAAGAGCUGUGCAGCAGCGGUCGGCAAUCAGCAGGGCCAGAGGAGUCGCAGAGAGGGAGCAUCUUGUCUCGGCCACAUUAGGCUGCUGGAGGAAGACCCUGGCUCCUUGUCCCUGACCUUGGGGUCCUGGGGUGGGGCCAGCAUGUCAAAGCCUUAGCAACAGGCAGGGGAGGUUCAUUCCCUUGUGGAGCCCGGGGCCCAUGAACCUGGCCCUUCUGUGCAUGACUGGGAGAAAGCCUUAGGGAUGGGGAGUCACUUUUGAUUCAAAGGCACAACUUCACUUAUUCAUUUAUUUGUAAGUCCUUCAUCGAGCGGCGCUUGCAUGCCAGGAACCAUGCCCAGGGCUUGUACAGGGGACAUGGGUCCUCAGGAGGUGGCCCACAUGCAGGGUGUUUGCAUUCCAGAUGAGGCCACGGGACACACAUCGCUGUAUGCUGACUGAGCCAGGACCAGAGCAGGCUGUCCUGAAACAGGAGGUUCAGAGGUGGGAGAGGAGGGCUGGCUGGUCAGGAGAGCCGGGGACGCUUCGUGGGAAGUGGGACAUAGACGGGAGAGAGAGUUUGGGCUGCUGUUUAGCAAACGUUCGUAGUCUCUCUCCUGCUGUGGGCAGAGAAAGAAAAGUAUUUUCCUCUCCCCAUGGAUGCUGAGGUGGACCAAGUGGCCUCUACCGGGCGGUGGGAUGACAGUGGAGAAGCCAUGCUUGGGUCCUGUGCCCUUGAUAGCCAUGAGCCCAGGCUUUGGGUAAAUACGCGGGGAGCAGACCUGGGCCCAGCCCACGGCCCGGAGUCAAGCUCAAGCAAGACACAGCCUGAGACGGGCUGCCCUGCCGAGCUCAUCUGUAACCGGCGGAAAGGAGAUCCGUCUGCAGACAUGUCGCAGUGAGGGCAAAUUCUUCCGUAAGCCGCUGAUUUCGGGGGUGGUUUGUUAUGCAGCUUGAUGUGGGCAGUAGCUGACGGGUGCACUGGCUCUAGAAAGGGCUGGGUUUUGGGGAAGUGAGGUUGGGUGAGGGAUGAGGCUGUCCUAAGUGUUGGGGAGGAGAGGCCUCUGCGGGGUGCACAAGUAAGAAGACAGAACUCUGAGUGUGGUUGGCAGGGAGGCUGGAGAGGGUUUGAGGUGGUGGGAAGGGGAGUUGGAAAAGCACUUUAGAAGCAGGCUGUACAGACUGGUGGUGGUCUCAGAGAAGAUCCCCUACCCCAGGGCACAGUCCUUCUCCCCUUUAUCAUGACCUCUGUAUCCAAGCUUGCUCCUGAAUUGCCAUAGAACUUGGGGAAAAGGUAUUUCCUCUGGAUGAUUACAGGUGCCCACCGCUCCCCACCAGAACAUCUGGACGCGUCAGUGAGGGGCUCGAUCCCCAGAGGGGUAUUCUGAGCAGGUCCAGGCUCUGGCCUUUAACUUGUUCCUGGGGCCUCGGCCCUCCGCUCCCCUACAGGGGCCCCAUCCAAAUGGUCUCUUAGGACCCUCCCUCCCAGAUGCUGCAGCCAAAGAGUGGUGAACACAGAUGCAGGUGCCAGGAUCAAUGGGUUGCCUGGAGGGAAGCAGGAUGGGCUUGGAAGUCUGGAUGGGUAGCCUGGAACCCGUGGUGGUCUGGAGAAGAGCCACGGAUGCAGCUGGUACAUGGCCCCAUGCUCAUGCGCGGCGGUGAUGGAUUGAGGAGCCGCGAGCUGCUGGCGGCCGCCAGUCCUGGGUCACAGCGGGCGGGUAACCCGAGCCCCUCGCCACACUCGCAUCACCAGCCACCUUCCCUUUCCUGCUGCCUCCCCUGUGGACCUCAGGACCUCUCUUGCAUCCAGCUCCUCAAAGAGACAGCUUACCCAGCUCCCACAGUCGUGGUGUGGAGUCAAAUCCACAUAAAAAGUCCCCCUGCGAGAGUGUAUGUACAGGUGUGUGUGCGUGUGUGUGUGGGUUGGCGCAUGUAGACGCAUGUGCACACGUGUAUGCACACACGUCUGUGUAAAUGUACAUCAAGUAUAUAUGUGCACACGCGUGUACACACUUGCAUGUUACAAGCGUGUGCGCACUUCCGUGUGUAUGUCUACGUGCAUGUGCAGGCAUC